rnacentral:rRNA from 1 species
UACGUAGGGGGCUAGCGUUGUCCGGAAUCAUUGGGCGUAAAGAGCGUGUAGGCGGCCCGGUAAGUCCGCUGUAAAAGUCAAAGGCUCAACCUUUGAAUGUCAGUGGAUACUGCCGGGCUAGAGUCCGGAAGAGGCGAGUGGAACUCCUGGUGUAGCGGUGGAAUGCGCAGAUAUCAGGAGGAACACCGGUGGCGAAGGCGGGUCUCUGGGAAGUAACUGACGCUGAGAAGCGAAAGCAUGGGUAGCAAACAGG